GCCCGGGUGGCGGAAUAGGCAGACGCAAGGGACUUAAAAUCCCUUGAGGCUAUGUCCUCGUGCGGGUUCAAUUCCCGCCCCGGGCACCA
rnacentral:tRNA from 1 species